GUAAAGAACUGUGUGUUGUUGAAGACUGUUUUCUCCAAAUCCUCCAAAAUGUCCAUGAUCAUCAAGAGGCUGGGGAGAGGAGUGUGGAUUCAGGAACCUGAGGUAUCCAACACCCACGUUCUGGGUUUCUACAUUGAUGUGAGAUAAAAAAGCAUCAAGAAGGUAAAUGAAAUGGGCAGAAAGAGUAAGAAAAAUUGGAAACACUUGACUGUGGUUAGCUUGGUCUGCCUGGAGAUAACAGAGUGUAUGGCUUACAGUGGGAACCUUGACCUAACCAAGCUAUGACCUCUUUCUUCAUAACAAAAUAAUUUCCUCCAUGUGUAUUAAAGUAUACAAAUUAUGUACUGAAAGAGGAUGGAGGCUAUUCCUAUCAACAAAUCAAAUUACCCAGCAAUUUAUUCCCACUAGGUACAUAGUGACACUAAUGGGGCUCGAUGAACCACACCUCUCGGAAGCAAUGCCCUCAUGUGGUGAUUGUGUCUUCCAACACAGACACUGGGCUUGGCCAGGUGAUUUGGUUUGGUCAACAGGACAUCAGCAAACACACGGCAAACAGAAGCUUGAUAUACAUUUACACAGUGUAGUUUGCACUUUUAAAUGUUGCCGCCACCUCUUUAUGAGGCUUGGACUAGCUUCCUUUGGGAUGAAAGAUCACACGGAGAGAAGAGUCCAGCUGUCCUGGCUCCCCCACGGAGCCCAGCCCUCAAUAAUCCUCCGGUCAAAGACAGCUGCUCUUGUGAGUCUGGGUGACAUCAGCAGAAGAACCAGAGUCAUGAGAAAUAAUAAAUCAUUAUUGUUUUACACUAGUAAAAUCUGGGGUGAUUUGUUA
rnacentral:lncRNA from 1 species